rnacentral:lncRNA from 1 species
CAGGAACAAAGUCUCUUACCUACGGAAGAAGAGACAACCCGCCACCAAAAUUGCGAGAUUUCAACAUCUCAAACAAUAGAGAAACCCACCAACAACUCGACACAUCUCCGGCUGAUAAACCCAUUAACAUAUACUCCACAUCUCCGGUCGAACAUGAAGUGGGAAUCUCCCUAGCCGUCUAUAGUCAAACAGUGAAAUCGAUGAAGGGAAACCCAAACAGAAGGUGAAUCGACGUUGCAAUCUAAACCCAAGGUGAAAUCGACGGUCACAACUCCUCCAAUUGCGGAACAUCAGCUGAAAACAAUUUUAUGAGCAUCUCCUUCAGUUGUAGAAUCUGCAGCAAACGUUCGGUAAGUGGGUAUUUUCAAUCUUCAUGCAAAACCUGGAUCUUCUGUCAAUUCGUAUUCUUCUAUGAAACAUAUCAACGAGAUUGUUCCUUCUUUGUUUUCUCAAAAUUUACAGCAAAAUUUAUGUAGAAUUUUGAACUCUGGCUGCCAAACAUCUAGCAAUUUAUUAAUCUCGACAUGAACUUCUAAGCUUUACUCUCUCUGGUAUUUUAUUCCACCAACAAAUAAUAUAAUGAACAAAAGAUAAAAGUCAAAAAACAUGCAAAUUUAAGUGGUUCUGCAUUAACAGAGUUGAUGACAAAUUGAUGAAUUUCAUUAAUAAAGAGACAUUGUAGGGUCACAGAGAAUAGGCAGCAUGUAUAACAACAAACAGUCAUCUUCCAAAUAUUUUUCAAACAAACAUUUUGUAGGGUCCUAGAGAAUGGGCAGUAUGUUUAAAUUUCUGUACCAAUUGGUACAAACCCAUUUACUCUUAUAUGAAGUAAUAGGUUAAUUGCAUGCUUAGAUGUGAAGUGAACAUUUUUAUUGUGGCAGGAAAGGAGAUUAUGGAAGACGGCAAUGGAGAUUCGUUGUUGGAAUGUGAUAAUGAGAAUGUUGUAGAGAAUUUGAACACAUUGGAUAGCGAAAAUAUAGGAGGAGAUGAUGUGACCGUAGCUGUGGUGGGUAUGAUGUUCAACGAUGAGAAAGAAAUGUUUGAGUUUUAUAAAAGAUAUGCUUAUGCCGUAGGAUUUCUGGUGAGAAAAAGGAAUUCCAAAAAAGGGGAAGAUGGAGUUAUGAGAUAUGUGACGUUCACAUGGAGUCAUGAAGGUCGAAGAAGUUAUGCCACAAGCGGAUCCUUGAAGCCUCAACCAACAAGUCAAACAGACUGUAAAGCAAGGAUAUCUGCAUCUUUAGAUAUUCUUGGAGUUUGGAGAAUUAAUAAAGUACACCUCGAUCACAACCAUAAAACGAGUCUUUCGAAGUCUAGGUUAUAUUGAUGCAACCGAAAAUUGAGUGCAAAUUUGAAAAUGAAGCUUGAAGUGAACGAUAUGGCAAGCAUUUCGUUGCACAAGAUUUAUAACUCCGCAGUUGUGGAAGCUGGUGGAUACGAGAAUACAACUUUUGUGGAAAAGGAUUGUCGGAACGACGUGGAACAAGUCAGACGAUUACGACUUGGAAAAGGAGACGCCCUCGCAAUACAGGCAUACUUUUCAAAGAUGCAAGCACGGUGCUCGGAAUUUUUCUUUAGUAUGGACUUUGAUGAGGAGUGUCGGCUAAAGAAUGUUUUUUGGGCAGAUCACAGAUGUAGGCAGUCUUACAAGGAAUUCGGUGAUGUCGUCACUUUCGAUACUACCUAUUUGACUAAUAAGUACGACAUGCCGUUUGCCCCUUUUGUUGGGGUGAAUCAUCAUGGACAGUCCAUAUUAUUGGGCUGCGGACUGUUAUCGAAUGAGGACACUGGGACUUUUGUGUGGUUGUUUAGAAUAUGGUUUGAGUGUAUGCAUGGACAAGCUCCUAAUGCAAUUUUUACUGAUCAAGAUCGGGCAAUGCAAAAUGCAGUUGAUAUUGUUUUUUUGAACACGAAGCAUAGAUGGUGUCUGUGGCACAUUAUGAAGAAGUUGUCAGAAAAGUUCGGAUAUCACAUUCAGAAGAGCUCGAUAUUUUCUGCAAUUCAUGAAUUGGUGUAUGAUUCCGACAAUGGUCAAGAAUUCGAAGAAGGUUGGAGGUUGAUGCUCGAAACAUACGAGUUACAUGAUAAUGAUUGGUUAGCUAGGUUGUAUGAGAACAGAGCUCGUUGGGUGCCUUGUUUGUUGAAACCCACCUUCUGGGCAAGCAUGUCUACUUCACAACAAAGUGAGAGUAUGAAUGCAUUUUUGAUGGUUAUGUGCAUUCGAAGACCUCACUGAAGCAGUUCGUCGAGUAGUACGAGAGAGCACUACGAAAUAAGGUAGAGAAGGAGUUCCGGACUGAUUUCAAAUCGUAUUCUCAAAUGGUACCAUGUGCGACGCUUUUCGAAAUGGAAAAGCAAUUUCAAGCAGCUUAUACCAUUUCAAAGUUCAAAGAAGUUCAGGGUGAGAUCACUGGGAAGGUAUAUUGCGACGUUAUAUCUGAAAGUGCAAAUGAUUACUAAUGGUCGACUUAUGAUGUUCAUGAGCAUGUCGCACUUCAUGAUCACCAGAAGAUGAAAACUUUUACCAUGUCAUUUCGGAGGGAUACGUGCGAAUUGAUUUGUAGCUGCCACCUAUUCGAAUUUUGGGGAAUCAUUUGUAGGCAUGCGAUUGCGGUCUUGUUUCGUAAUAAAAUUUUCUCGAUGCCUCAUCGGUAUAUAAUAAAGAGAUGGAGAAGAGAUGUCAGUAGAGCACACACUAGGAUCGCAGUAAACUACGAUGGACUGGCAAGUACUCUUGGACAGCUUAGGUAUGACGAAAUGUGUCAGGCUUUUUCGGAGGUGGCGGACCUUGCAGCAGACGAUGAGGGACGGGCAUGUAGUGUAAUGGAGUGGAUAAGAUCGCAAGCAAACGAAUUGUGGAUUACAAAGUCAAGUAUAGGGAGCACUGGUCAGAUCCAAAUGGCAAGUAGCAAUGCGCACCUAUUAGAUCCAGCAUCGUGUAAACGAAAGGGAGCACCGAGGAAAUUUCGGAGGAAAAGCCCAUUGGAGGCCAGCUCAAAUAGAUCAAAGGUAAUUUCUUACUAUUAUUAGCUUCGUAGAGUUGGCAUUUUGAAACUAAUAAUUGUUUUACUUGUCCAACGUGUAGGCCUCCGCAUCAUUGAGCAAAGGAAAAAGACCUACAGUUCGAUGUAGUAAUACAGAAGAGACGUCAAUCGAUGUUCAGGCAGCUCAACUUCCACAACGUUCUAUGCCGACGCCAUUGCAAUGUUUCAUUCUGCCGACGCCCCCAAAUGUUGCACUUAAUGCUCAAGGUAUGCCUCUCCAUUUAGC